GACGAACGCUGGCGGCGUGCCUAAUACAUGCAAGUCGAACGAACCGCGACUAAGUGCUUGCACUAAGUCAAGGUGAGUGGCGAACGGGUGAGUAACACGUGGGUAACCUACCUCAUAGUGGGGGAUAACAGUCGGAAACGACUGCCAAUACCGCAUAGGACAUAGGAUCACAUGAUCCAGUGAGGAAAGGUGGCGCAAGCUAUCGCUAAGAGAUGGACCCGCGGUGCAUUAGCUAGUUGGUAGGGUAAAGGCCUACCAAGGCGAUGAUGCAUAGCCGACCUGAGAGGGUGAUCGGCCACAUUGGGACUGAGACACGGCCCAAACUCCUACGGGAGGCAGCAGUAGGGAAUCUUCCGCAAUGGACGCAAGUCUGACGGAGCAACGCCGCGUGAGUGAAGAAGGUCUUCGGAUCGUAAAGCUCUGUUGUUAGAGAAGAACAGCGCAUAGAGUAACUGCUAUGCGUGUGACGGUAUCUAACCAGAAAGCCACGGCUAACUACGUG
rnacentral:rRNA from 1 species